AAGAGUUUGAUCCUGGCUCAGGACGAACGCUGGCGGCGUGCUUAACACAUGCAAGUCGAACGAUGAAGCCCUUCGGGGUGGAUUAGUGGCGAACGGGUGAGUAACACGUGGGCAAUCUGCCCUUCACUCUGGGACAAGCCCUGGAAACGGGGUCUAAUACCGGAUAACACUCUGUCCCGCAUGGGACGGGGUUAAAAGCUCCGGCGGUGAAGGAUGAGCCCGCGGCCUAUCAGCUUGUUGGUGGGGUGAUGGCCUACCAAGGCGACGACGGGUAGCCGGCCUGAGAGGGCGACCGGCCACACUGGGACUGAGACACGGCCCAGACUCCUACGGGAGGCAGCAGUGGGGAAUAUUGCACAAUGGGCGAAAGCCUGAUGCAGCGACGCCGCGUGAGGGAUGACGGCCUUCGGGUUGUAAACCUCUUUCAGCAGGGAAGAAGCGAGAGUGACGGUACCGCA
rnacentral:rRNA from 2 species